rnacentral:rRNA from 1 species
CUACUCUUGACAUCCUGCGAACUUGGUAGAGAUACCUUGGUGCCUUCGGGAACGCAGAGACAGGUGCUGCAUGGCUGUCGUCAGCUCGUGUUGUGAAAUGUUGGGUUAAGUCCCGUAACGAGCGCAACCCUUGUCCUUAGUUGCCAUCAUUUAGUUGGGGACUCUAAGGAGACUGCCGGUGACAAACCGGAGGAAGGCGGGGACGACGUCAAGUCAUCAUGGCCCUUACGAGUAGGGCUACACACGUGCUACAAUGGCAAGUACAGAGGGCCGCAAAGCCGCGAGGUGGAGCUAAUCUCACAAAGCUUGUCGUAGUCCGGAUUGGAGUCUGCAACUCGACUCCAUGAGGUCGGAAUCCUUAAAAAGCGUGAAUCAGAAUGUCACGGUGAAUACGUUCCCG